GACGGUAAUUUAAUCUAAUUAGAGGAACUCGUCCUGUAAUCGAUAGUCCUCGUUAAACUUUACUUAAAUUUGUAAUCAGCUUAUAUACCGCCGUCAUAAAUUUAUACUUAUAAGUUAUAAUUAAGAUAUUUAGGUCAAUGUCAGGUCAAGGUGUAGCUUAUAUUUAAGAAGAGAUAAGUUACAAUGAAAAAAUUUAAACGGAACAAUAGUUGAAAUUUUAUUGUAAAGGUGGAUUUAAUAGUAAUUGAUCUUAUAAAAAGAUUAAUAAAUAUAGCUCUAAAUUAUGUACACAUCGCCCG
rnacentral:rRNA from 1 species